CUACGGGUUGCUGCAGUGGGGAAUAUUGGACAAUGGGGGAAACCCUGAUCCAGCAAUGCCGCGUGUGUGAAGAAGGCCUGCGGGUUGCAAAGCACUUUCGGUUGGGAGGACUGCUUCUAGCACUAAUAUUGUUGGAAGUUGACGUUACCUUCAGAAGAAGCACCGGCUAACUCCGUGCCAGCAGCCGCGGUGAAUACGGAGGGUGCAAGCGUUAAUCGGAAUUACUGGGCGUAAAGCGCGCGUAGGCGGCUAGAUCAGUCGGGUGUGAAAGCCCCGGGCUUAACCUGGGAACUGCAUCCGAUACUGUCUAGCUUGAGUACAGGAGAGGAGAGUGGAAUUCCACAUGUAGCGGUGAAAUGCGUAGAUAUGUGGAGGAACACCAAUAGCGAAGGCAGCUCUCUGGCCUGAUACUGACGCUGGGGUGCGAAAGCGUGGGGAGCAAACAGGAUUAGAUACCCCAGUAGUC
rnacentral:rRNA from 1 species